AGAAUUGAUCUUAGUCAGAACGAACGCUGGCGGCGCGUUUAAGCAUGCAAGUCGAGCGGCAAGGGCCUUCGGGCCCCUAGAGCGGCGGACGGGUGAGUAACACGUGGACAAUCUGCCCCCCGGCCCGGGAUAGCCCAGGGAAACCUGGAUUAAUACCGGAUGAGACGGGACCCGCGAUGGCGGGACCCGGGAAAGGCGCUGCGGCGCCGCCGGGGGAUGAGUCUGCGUCCCAUUAGCUAGACGGCGGGGUAACGGCCCACCGUGGCGACGAUGGGUAGCCGGCCUGAGAGGGUGGACGGCCACAUUGGAACUGAGACACGGUCCAGACUCCUACGGGAGGCAGCAGCUAAGAAUCUUCCGCAAUGGGCGAAAGCCUGACGGAGCCGACGCCGCGUGAACGAAGAAGGCCGUGAGGUUGUAAAGUUCUUUUCGGGAGGGGGAACAACCGUGGCAGGGAAUGGCCGCGGGAUGACGUGAAUCCCGGAAUAAGCCCCGGCUAACUACGUGCCAGCAGCCGC
rnacentral:rRNA from 1 species